AUCCCAUGAUGAGAGUAUCUACGAAGUAACUCAUUGAAUCUUUCUCACGCCUCAUAUAGAGACUCAUCAUCCAUAUGCUGAAAAGUGGUGAUCUCGUUCCGCAACUU
rfam:Gossypium raimondii chromosome 3, whole genome shotgun sequence.